rnacentral:misc_RNA from 1 species
CAGAAACAAGGACCAGGAGUCAGGUGCAGACGAAUGCGCGACAUGAUCUCCGAGAUCUCUUCGAGCGUACCAACGCCCCCUGGAAGCGCCACGAAAACAUCGCCGAGUUCGAUCAUCUUCGCUUUGCGUUCACUCAUGUUCUCGACCACAUAAAGCUCGGUCAGAUCCUGUUGCUCAACGCCC